rnacentral:rRNA from 1 species
CCUACGGUGUGCAGCAGUGGGGGAUAUUGCACAAUGGGGGAAACCCUGAUGCAGCGAUGCCGCGUGAAUGAAGACGGCCUUCGGGUUGUAAAGUUCUGUCGCAGGGGACGAAAAUGACGGUACCCUGCAAGAAAGCUCCGGCUAACUACGUGCCAGCAGCCGCGGUCAUACGUAGGGCGCAAGCGUUGUCCGGAAUUACUGGGUGUAAAGGUAGCGGAGGCGGGAGGAUAAGUAGAAUGUGAAAUCGAUGGGCUCAACCCAUAGCUUGGUUUAAAACUGUGCGUCUUGAGUGGAGUAGAGGCAGGGGGAAUUCCGAGGGUAGCGGUGAAAUGCGUAGAGAUUAGGAGGAACACCAGUGGCGAAGGCGGCCUGCUGGGCUUUUAAUGACGCUGAGGCUAGAAAGCGUGGGUAGCAAACAGGAUUAGAUACCCCCUGUAGUC